UACGGGGGGGGCAAGCGUUGUUCGGAAUUACUGGGCGUAAAGGGCUCGUAGGCGGCCAACUAAGUCAGACGUGAAAUCCCUCGGCUUAACCGGGGAACUGCGUCUGAUACUGGAUGGCUUGAGUGUGGGAGAGGGAUGCGGAAUUCCAGGUGUAGCGGUGAAAUGCGUAGAUAUCUGGAGGAACACCGGUGGCGAAGGCGGCAUCCUG
rnacentral:rRNA from 1 species